CCUACGGGAGGCAGCAGUGAGGAAUAUUGGUCAAUGGACGCAAGGCUGAACCAGCCAAGUCGCGUGAGGGAUGACGGCCCUAUGGGUUGUAAACUUCUUUUGUCAGGGAGUAAAGGGCGCCACGUGUGGCUUUUUGCGUGUACCUGAUGAAAAAGCAUAGGCUAACUCCGUGCCAGCAGCGGCGGUAAUAUGGAGGGAGGGAGCGUUAUCCGGAUUUAUUGGGGUUAAAGGGAGCGGAGGCGGAAAUUGAAGUCAGGUGUUAAAGUUUGGGGGUCAACCCUGUUGGUGCAGUUGAAACUGGCGGUCUUGAGUGCACGCGAAGUAUGCGGAAUGCGUGGUGUAGCGGUGAAAUGCAUAGAUAUCACGAAGAACUCCGAUUGCGAAGGCAGCAUACCGGCGCUCAACUGACGCUGAUGCACGAAAGUGUGGGUAUCGAACAGGAUUAGAUACCCUAGUAGUC
rnacentral:rRNA from 1 species